AGAGAAUGUGCAUCAUCUGAACCUCCUGAAGUAUCCCCUGACAAUGCUGUGCCAGAGGCUGACAACUCCCAAGCAGACAGUAGUGAUAGUCAUGCUGGACCAUGUGCUGAGAGUCACAGUGUUGGGGUUGAGACAAACAGGGCCAACAACAGUGAAACGGAUAGUAUGCAUGGUGCAGAAGUGCCAGAACUGAACCACAGUCAUCCUGAGGACCAAGUAGCCAGAGGAUCAAUGUCUGAGAUCACUUUGAUACACGAUAGAGCACCAAGUAACACAGUAGGGCACAUCAGAACAAGAGUAGGAAGGGUACUAAAACCAGUUAACAGAUUGAUUCAGAACAUGACGCAGAGAAACAAACAAGCUAGUGGUGGAGUUAGUGGGUUAGCCAAAACUUUAUUUUUGUGAACAACCGUCAGUUAUCCUAUUGGAAUAGUUCAAAGUUAAUUAGCAAUGUGUAUAAUAUGUAUAAUUCUGUUAAGUAAGUUCAAUGUUGGAGUAACAGUCAUUUAUUCAUUAGGAUGAGAUUGUGUAUAAGGCACCUUCUUACGCAAGUGAACAUUGGAAGUCUGGCCAGCUUCCUUUUGACACUUUCCCUUUUGGUUGGGAGACGGUUUUGUCGCACAUAAGAGUACUGUGAUGUACUGUGAGAAAAUAAUGACAUGCUAUGUUAUGUUACUGUUAUUUAGAACUCUGCCAUUACCUGACCCUCAGUGUUUUGAGAAAUUCAGGGGGGAGUAUGUGGCUGAGUUAGUUUGUUAUAUUGUGAACAUUCUCAAAACUAUUUUUUUUUAUACUGAAAUUCUUCUGUUUUAUAUAUUGUGAAUUUUGUUUAAUGUGAAUGUAAUCAUUGUAUCUGUUGUAUAUAGUUCCUAUUUGUCUGUUGUAGCGGGGGGGGGGCUUUAAUUAAUGUAACACCCAUAGGACGCACAUGUGACGUACAGCAGACUCCUGGCAAAAGCUGGAGGACGCUUUUACAGGAGACAGAGAGCGCCUGACGUUACAUGUGCUGACUGUGCCCUUUACUGCUUGUCUUGUAGGUAUGUUGCAACGUUAAUUAUUGUCCUUCAUUGUUGCUGUUUAUAUUCAAUUGUUAAAUUUGUAUUUAUCGUAUUUGUGUAUAUAUGGUUAAUUAAAAAAAAAAAAAAAAAAAAAAAAGCUGGAGGACGCUUUUGCAGGAGACAGAGAGCGCCUGACGUUACAUGUGCUGACUGUGCCCUUUACUGCUUGUCUU